CUCAUUCAUUCCUCAACCCAUUGUAAAAUAAUGUCAAUUAAUAUAGGUUCCUUUGCUGAACACCUGUGAACCAAAGCAUAGUUUUAAAUGCUUGUUGUAAACUAUCUGAGUUAAUCUUCAUAAUAACAGUCACAGGUGGCUGCACCAUGUUUUAUAGUAAGAAAAUAGAGUUAGAAAGAGUAAAUAUCUAGACUAAUAUAACAGUACUAAAUGGCAGAACUGGAAUUCAAGCCAUCUUCAUUGACUCUGUUCUCCAAGACCUUAGCCCCUGGUUUAUUGCCUCCUGAUGCCCAUUUCCCAGGUGUCUGAAGAGCAUUUUUCAAAGUCACAGUUAACCUUAAUUUUACUAAACUUAGGUUUAGUAACACUUUCCAGUCAUUACCUAGCUGUAUCUGUCAGCAGUAUUAGACAUCUUAAAACCUUGGCAGGUGACUUUGUUCCAGGCUUUGUUAAUACCAAAUACCCUUGAUUUUUCUCUUACUUCUUUGAUUUUUCAUACUCAGACUUUUCUACAGUCUCCUUUUCAAUGUGGUCUUCUUUUACUUAUCUUCUAAAGUUGAUGUUCAUGGAGAAUCUGUUCCAAACCUAGAUGUUCUCAUGCCAUGGUACACAUGCCCCUCAGCUGAUCC
rnacentral:lncRNA from 1 species